AUUGAACGCUGGCGGCAUGCCUUACACAUGCAAGUCGAACGGUAACAGGUUAAGCUGACGAGUGGCGAACGGGUGAGUAAUGUAUCGGAACGUGCCCAGUCGUGGGGGAUAACUGCUCGAAAGAGCAGCUAAUACCGCAUACGACCUGAGGGUGAAAGCGGGGGAUCGCAAGACCUCGCGCGAUUGGAGCGGCCGAUAUCAGAUUAGGUAGUUGGUGAGGUAAAGGCUCACCAAGCCGACGAUCUGUAGCUGGUCUGAGAGGACGACCAGCCACACUGGGACUGAGACACGGCCCAGACUCCUACGGGAGGCAGCAGUGGGGAAUUUUGGACAAUGGGCGCAAGCCUGAUCCAGCCAUGCCGCGUGCGGGAAGAAGGCCUUCGGGUUGUAAACCGCUUUUGUCAGGGAAAAAAAGGUUCUGGCUAAUACCUGGGACUCAUGACGGUACCUGAAGAAUAAGCACCGGCUAACUACGUG
rnacentral:rRNA from 1 species